AACGAACGCUGGCGGCGUGCCUAACACAUGCAAAUCGAACGAGAAAGGGGCUUCGGCUCCGAGUAAAGUGGCGCACGGGUGAGUAACACGUGGGUAACCUGCCUCUAAGAUUGGGAUAACUCGUCGAAAGAUGAGCUAAUACCGGAUAAGACCACAGUUCCCGCGGGAACAGGGGUCAAAGGUAGCCUCUGCUUGCAAGCUAUCACUUAGAGAUGGGCCUGCGCACCAUUAGCUAGUUGGUAGGGUAACGGCCUACCAAGGCAAGGAUGGUUAGCUGGUCUGAGAGGAUGAUCAGCCACACUGGAACUGAGACACGGUCCAGACUCCUACGGGAGGCAGCAGUGGGGAAUAUUGCGCAAUGGGCGAAAGCUUGACGCAGCAACGCCGCGUGAGUGAUGAAGGCCUUCGGGUCGUAAAGCUCUGUCGGGAGGAACGAAUGCUCCCAAGGUUGACAGCCUCGGGAGGUGACGGUACCUUCAAAGGAAGCACCGGCUAACUCUGUGCCAGCAGCCGCGGUAAUAC
rnacentral:rRNA from 1 species